UCGCGGUCAUGGAUAUAGCUAGUGUCAUCAAUGUUGAUUUCCGUCAUUCUUGGACGGAGUGAUCUCCAGCGCCUUGAGAGAAGGGAUGUGACCAUGAUUUGUUUUGCAGGCAAAAGAGAUAGGAUGCGACAUAGCAGUUCAUCAGGUAAAAUACUGAUUCUAUCUGCAUUUGGCAUCCCUAGCCAGACUCGCCUCCAUCGCUUUGAGAGAAGGCUUGUGCUCGGGAAUUCCUCUGAGGGUAAAAAUGACAGGAUUUCACAUAGCAAUUCAUCGGGUAAACCACUCAUCCUAUCUUCUUCUGCCAUCAUAGUUUGAUUAAUUGAUCAAAGAACAAAACAAAAGAAGGAAUAAAACUUUGUUUGUUACCUUUGGGAUUGGGAUUGGGAUUAGGAUUGCGAUUGCUAUGCUGGCUAGGGUUAAAGGAAGGAAGUCGAGGAAGAAGAAGAGGAAUGAUUGACUUUGUUAUGUAUUUCUGGAUUUAUUGGCCUUUUACUAUUUUAUUUCUCUCUUGGGACGGGCCUGUGGCCUAUACAAUCUUGGAAGAUUUCUUUUUAGAAAAUUGUUGUUCCCACUUGAAACAAGCUAGAAAAUACCAAUAAAUGACCUAAAUAUCCUUUGGUAGUUAACUUGCGGUUGUUACUGCCGUGCUGCGGAGUUAAUUAGUAGUUAACUGCCUAUGCGAUUUCUGCUACAAAUCUCAGGCAGAACCAUUACUCUCUCAUCCAUUGUCACUCUCAACUCAAAAUUUCUCUCAAAAUCUCAUCUAAAUUUAUUCAACAGAAUCACAAGUAAGUAAUCAUGGUGUUAUUAACCCAAAUUCUAGUUGUUAUAAUUGUUUUUCAUUUUUUUUUAAUUUUAGUUUUAGGUUAAUUUAAAUUUUGUUGUUUUUAUUUUAAAAAAAAAAAAACAAUCAAAUGUUUACAAGUAAGAUAUUAUGAUUCAUUUUUAGAGUAGAUUUAAGUUGAUUAAGUAUGUUUGCAAGUUUAUGUUGUAGUUUUGAGUUUUAGUGUUUAUGUAUAAUUUGCACUCCAAGUGUUUAAUGAAAUGUUUGAAUGAGUUUUUCAUUAAUUGUUUAAUUUCUUAUGGUGUAGAUCUGAAACAACGGACAAUUUGUUCAGUGCUCAAGUACGCUUCAACGGUGGAAACCCUUAUUUGUCCAAGGUCCGGGUCAAUGUCACGCUAAAGGAUCUGAAGGAACAACUGAAUGAAAUCAAUCAAGGCCUCAACCCUGGAGACGCAAGGAGGGUGGAGGACCUUUAGUAUGCAUGUCCCGGUUAUUUGCAAUCAGAAAAGAUAAUAUGCAAGUGCUUUGAUUUUAAAUUGUUUUUCUUUUCUUCUCUUUUUUGAUCAAAUGCUUGUUUGUUGAAUAUGUAGUAUGUUUUUUAUUCUUAAUUGUAUGCAUCUACCAUGUGAUAGGCUUCUUAGCUAGGUAUGGGGGAUUUAUUAUCAAUUAGCAACCGUGUGUGAGAUGAGAUUAAAUUCUUGCAAUCGACCUAAUUAUGUACUCAGUCUCCCAAAAAGAGAAGGCCACAACUGACUGUUUCUUUGAACACCAAUAAUUUGGUGCAGCUAACAAGGAUCAUAAGUCAUCCUAUCAACCUUAUGUCCAAAGCAGUCUGCACCAGAAAAUUCCAGCAAGCUUACAACCAUAAAUUUAGAUUCAUUUUAAGUACCCUUGUUUCUCUUUUGGCAUCCAUCAGUUGAGACCUUCUAUUGAUUUAUCCAACUGUAAAACAAAUAUAAAGUUUGUUUAUUGUAUAGGUACCUUGUAGAGCCAACUACUUUCUUGACAAUGUUGAAACCACCUUCUCUUUAAUUGUCUUUUCAAGGUUCAUGUACACAUCAAAUAAAAUUUUGUCAACACUUCUCAAGCAUAAUUCUUUUGAUGUUACCACGCUAUUAGGAAAUCAUUUGUAAUCUAAAUAUCUGGCUCUCAACUGUAGUUCUCUUUAAAUGAAUGUGAAAUGGUGUUUUCUCCCAACUAAUAUGAAUGAUAUGAUACAAGCUUAAACUUAGAAGACCACAAAAUACAUUUGUCUUUUUAAUACAACCACAUCUCUUAAUAAAAAAAGAGACAACGUUGACAGAAUCAUUUAUUUAAAAACAAAUCCACUCCUUCAAGUAGUACAUCCCCCAAAUCAAACAAGUACUGUCAAAAGUAAAUCAAACUCAAAGCUCUUCUAAUCAUGAAUACUAAUACCAUUUAAACUUUAACCAUUCCAAUAUAAAAUUUAAGCACUUUUAUUCAACUACUACGUUCAUUGCAAAAUAUGCUCUCUUGACAGUUAUUCAUGUCAUUGUACUAACUUCUUCACAGUAUCUUAAAAUUCAUUCAUUCUUGAAUAAAACCUCACAUUCUAAUGUCACUACUGCUCAUUCUUGACAGGUCUACACAAUUUUUACUCCACAGCUCCAUAGCCUCCAUUCACCUCUAUUCAUACGCACUUUGUUUUCUUUAUUUACUUGUCCAAACAGUCCUUACAUAUGUGCUUCUGAUCUACACCUCAACUCCUAUACAUCCCAGUAUUAUCCUUUCAUGCAUGUGGAAACAAAAGGCAGACUAGAGUAUUCAUACAGGAAUUGCAUAUUUGCACUAGUUUGAUUAAUGCCUUCUUUCACCUCUGAAAUCCCAUAAUAAUUUUGACAUUCAACCAGCUCUGCACCAUCAGUUUUACCUUUUUUGUCACGCCUCUCAACUUCCGCAUCUUGAUUUCGGAUAAUCAUGUUAUUCCUUGCCUUCCAUAUAAUGAAGUCAUCCCCCGUUGCUCUGCUCCAUUGUCUUUCCAUCGUUUACCAAUCCUGCAAACUGUUUUAUCAUUUCAUUACAAUCAUUUGAAAGUGAAGACUCAAUUCCAAGCCAAUGCAGUUGCUCUAUUUAUGCAUCCGAGUGUACAGACUUACAUAUUCCAUCCUAAUAUCAUCUCUAACAACCUAAACUAUCCUCUCACUAACUAACUGCCUAAUUUCCCUUCUCUCUAAUCCUAAAACUAAGCAGCUAGCAGUAUUCAUACCUAACUUGUACACAAGUUGGGCAUGGUGGAUAUCUAUUUAGUUAGCAUUCACCAUCUUGAGGGAUGUUCAUUUUUUGCCGUAGAAGAAAGAGGAGGAGGAUAUUGCCGCUUACCUCACUCUAUGCCACAUCCUAACAUAAAUUUCCAAAGGGAUGGGAUACAAAGUUUGAGCCCAGAAUUGGGUCCGAACAAAAAUUGUCCAAUUGCUAGAAUUAUGAUAAAAUCCAAAUUAUCUAACUAAUGAAUUAGAAUCAAAUUUUUGUCGCAAUUUUUUUCCAUUUGUAUUUUCCAUGUUUUCAUGUAGAUAAAUCAACAAUUAUGUUGUAGCACAGUAAGAGUGAGAAAGAGUAUUAUCUGUUCUCCAAAUAAAAUAAACCCUAUCGCUAAAUAUUAUAACAUGAAAUCGUUUACUCCUUAAAAUCCUGUAGAAUAGAUACACACAAAGAAGAUCAAGUAGCACAAUCAAAUAAUUAAUAUUGGGAAAAAGAGCAGCAGUGUCAUUCUUUGAUCCAUUCAAAAUGAAGUUGGUGGGGAAUGGAAUCCUCGAGUAAUUCUUUGAUGAUUUGGAGGUCCUUGGGUGGAUUUGAAGAGGUAUUUGUGUAGAUGGUGACGUUGCGCAAGAGAGUUGCAUUUUGGACAACAUAUUUGGUGAAUUGAAGCUCGCUUAGGUUGCCUCCGUAAUUAAUAAAAGAGAACAUUUGUAGAUGUGAUGAAAUGCAUUGGGGGACAAAGUGUGGAUGCGGCCAAUUAUUAUUGUGAUCAUCAUAGCCUCCUCCAAUCUUGCCGCGAAUGAUGAGAGUUUGAAGAGAGGGGCAGGCACAGAUGAAUUUCAUUACGGAAAUCCAAUAAUAUCCGUCAUGAAAGAUAAGGUCCAUGUGAGUUAAAUUGAGAAAUUGAGUGGUUGAAAAAUCUUGUUCUAGUGUUUGUAGCAGCACUUGUGACCGUAGAAACUGGACAUUGUAAAAGAGUUUCAGGGGCAGCAAAAAAGCAGAAAUAGAAGACUCAGAAACGUCGGCUCUGAGCAAUUUAGGGAAGGGUUUCAAUGCAGCAGCAUCAUCAUGAGCAAGAGUGUUGUCUGUAACUUGUAAAUCUUUCAAGAGCAGAUCCUCAAGAAGCAGAGACAUAGAGAGAAUCUUGAUGAGAAAUUUAAGCUUUAGAAAAUGCACUUGGGUCAAGUGAAGGAUUUUAAGGGAAGGCAAAUUAGUAGAAGAUCUAUGAACAUAGUCUAUAGUCAAGGCAUUCAACUUCAAAACAACUAGAGCUGUGGAAGUUAGAACCUUAUAUGGUACACAAAGGCAAAGGGUGGCGGAAGAAGUUACAUCGAGAUGUUGAACUUGAAGAUAAUCAAGCCAUAAAGGUAAGGGAUUAAAGAAGGGAGAUGCAGAGAGAAUAGUAACCGUUUUCAUGAUAGUAUGAUGGAUUUUCAUUUCAAACAAAAACAAGGCGAUGACAUGAUAAUAUCUGUCAUAAGCGUCGCGGUCAUGGAUAUAGCUAGUGUCAUCAAUGUUGAUUUCCGUCAUUCUUGGACGGAGUGAUCUCCAGCGCCUUGAGAGAAGGGAUGUGACCAUGAUUUGUUUUGCAGGCAAAAGAGAUAGGAUGCGACAUAGCAGUUCAUCAGGUAAAAUACUGAUUCUAUCUGCAUUUGGCAUCCCUAGCCAGACUCGCCUCCAUCGCUUUGAGAGAAGGCUUGUGCUCGGGAUUUCCUCUGAGGGUAAAAAUGACAGGAUUUCACAUAGCAAUUCAUCGGGUAAACCACUCAUCCUAUCUUCUUCUGCCAUCAUAGUUUGAUUAAUUGAUCAAAGAACAAAACAAAAGAAGGAAUAAAACUUUGUUUGUUACCUUUGGGAUUGGGAUUGGGAUUAGGAUUGCGAUUGCUAUACUGGCUAGGGUUAAAGGAAGGAAGUCGAGGAAGAAGAAGAGGACUGAUUGACUUUAUUAUGUAUUUCUGGAUUUAUUUAUUGGCCUUUUACUAUUUUAUUUCUCUCUUGAGACGGG
rnacentral:lncRNA from 1 species